AUACGUAGGUGGCAAGCGUUAUUCGGAAUUACUGGGCGUAAAGCGCACGCAGGCGGCCAGUCAAGUCUGACGUGAAAGCUCCUGGCUUAACUGGGAGAGGUCGUUGGAAACUGAUUGGCUUGAGGCAAUGAGAGGGACACGGAAUUCCCGGUGUAGUGGUGGAAUGCGUAGAUAUCGGGAGGAACACCAGUGGCGAAAGCGGUGUCCUGGCAUUGACCUGACGCUCAUGUGCGAAAGCGUGGGGAGCGAACGGGAUUAGAUACCCCGGUAGUCC
rnacentral:rRNA from 1 species